CCGACUUUAGCUCAGUUGGAAGAGCGCGAGACUGUAAUGGAUAACGUAAUCUUGAGGUCGCCUGUUCGAACCAGGCAAGUCGGA